UAUAAGUACUUACCUGUAAUGACUAAGCUAAAUUGCAAUGCACUUUAGCACCUUGAUUUGAUUGCAUGUCAGGUCUAGAUUAUUUAGAUUAUUUAUGGAUCAACAUCUUCAUUGUAAUUGUUGGGCACAAAUAACAGGACCUUACUAUAGUGAUGUGAUUGUUUAGCAUAUGAGCUACAUAUCACCAAGCUUAAAAUAUGACUGAUUGGAAAUCUUUUUACUGGGCAUCAUUUCUUGCUGGGGGAGGGGCAGGGCUUGCUGUGGAUAUUUCCCUGUUCCCAUUAGACACUAUUAAGACUAGACUACAAAGUGCACAGGGCUUCUAUAAUGCUGGGGGCUUCAGGGGAAUAUACUCUGGUUUACCAUCUGCAGCCAUCGGAUCUGUACCAACUGCUGCAGCAUUCUUCCUAACAUACGAGAGCAUGAAACAUCUUCUGAGUCCCAUGUUGUCAGGUCAUGCAGCAGUCUCUCUGUCACACAGUCUAGCAGCUUCAUGCGGAGAAGUGAUGGCAUGUGUGAUCCGUGUACCAGUUGAGGUUGUAAAGCAGAGAGCUCAAGCCAAUCCUAGAUACUCAUCAUUACAUUUUCUCAGGUUAACUUUACGUUCAGAGGGCUUUAGAGGGUUAUAUAGAGGCUACUUAAGCACUGUGAUGCGUGAGGUUCCAUUUUCCUUUAUUGAGAUGCCAAUAUGGGAGUACCUCAAAAAAUACUGGUCUGUAAGGCAGGGUUCACCUGUAGAAGCAUGGCAGUCAUCUAUAUGUGGGGCAAUAGCAGGGGGGCUAGCAGCUGGUAUAACAACACCAUUAGAUGUAGCAAAGACUCGGAUCAUGUUAGCACAUAAAACAUCUGCAAUAGCUCAAGGCCACAUCUUAUUUGCAAUGCAAACAAUUUACAAAGAAAAUGGAAUUAGAGGGUUGUUUGCUGGAAUAAUACCUAGGAUGAUGUGGAUAUCUAUAGGUGGCGCCAUAUUCUUGGGGGUAUAUGACAAAAUCAAGUGCAUUAUGACUUUACCUGAGCUCGAACAAAGCAGUGAAAUUGUAGCAAUGCGAUGAGUUUUAUCGGAUGAAUAUACUGCAGUAUGAAAUGGGGCAAAAUAUAAUGGUGAUAUUCACUAAAGGUUAGAUGGUUAACUGAAACCAUGGAGCUCCGACCGUCAUUAGGUUUGUUUGGUUCUGAAAAAUCCCUCGGUUUUUUUUUUAGCAGAAUAUUAAUUGAGGGAAAAUUACCAUUCAUAAAUGCACACUCACUAAAAUACAUGUAACAUUAAAAAUCGAUAUGGGCGAUGCAAAUAAAGUGCAAAAUACAGUGAUCAAACAGGCUAAUUUUGUUCUUUUUUUAUCAAAGCAGAAUAUAAUUGUGCGAUAAGAACCGAGAAUAACCAAACUGACAACCGAACCAAGGGAGUCUAAAACCGAACCAAACCGAACAUUUUGAAACUGUCUGACCCCUAAUAUUCACUGGGCAAAAUGGUUAGAAGAC
rnacentral:misc_RNA from 1 species